rnacentral:rRNA from 1 species
GACGGAGGAUGCAAGCGUUAUCCGGAAUCACUGGGCGUAAAGCGUCUGUAGGUGGUUCGAAAAGUCCACUGUUAAAAAUUGAAGCUUAACUUCAAAGAUGCCGUGGAAACUUUCAAACUAGAGUGUGGUAGGGGUAGAGGGAAUUUCCAGUGGAGCGGUGAAAUGCGUAGAUAUUGGAAAGAACACCGAUGGCGAAGGCGCUCUACUGGGCCAUUACUGACACUGAGAGACGAAAGCUAGGGGAGCAAAUGGG